GUUUAUUUUUAUUUUUUCAGAUAAGAUUUAAAAAAAAUUGAAAAAAAUAAUAAUCUUUACAUGUACACAGCAAUGACAUCACAAUCCAUUUAUAAAGUAAAACCUCACGCAUACAAGUCCCUUACUGGUCUCUUUGUACUCUGUUAUUGGAGACAUAAAAAUGUUUUUUUUAUAUAUAUAUAUAUAUAUAUUUUUUUUUUUUUUUAUCCUUCUCAAUCUCUCUGCCUGGAGUUUGGCAAAUGGCAGCGUUGUUUAAUACGUCUGCCAUGAUUUACUGAGAUGCCAAGUGAAUAUAACCAAUAUGAUUAAAUAGUUUUAAUUUAUUCUGCUUAAUUCUAUUUUUACAUUAUCCCAGAGAAAUGUGUAAUAAGUACAGGAAUCAACUCUGGACCCAGAAGCUUGCAGUAGGGAGUUUUUGCCCUCUUGAUACUGGUAGCACAUUGCUCUGUAAUGGCAGCAAAAUAACACAAUGAUACGUAUUUUGUUUAGAAAACUGCAUAAUUCUAAUGGCAACUAUAUAUUUCAAUAUUUAAUAUUAUGAUUAAAAAAAUAUUAAAUUAUAUUUAAAUAUUAACUAAGCGUGACAAUUGAUUCUUUGCAUUUAUAAUUUCACGACCAGUUGUUAGAGAAAUGAGGCAGCUUUAAAUGCUCCUAAUGGCUUUGUUGUUCACUGCACCUGUAAACAAGCUCCUGUUUUUCUAUUCUUACGUUAUCAAGUUUAGUAAUGAAAUUUGGGCUUUUUUUUGGCAUUAUGUCUACUAUAUCUUUUGAUUCUAUUUCGAAUCUGGUUCUUGUAAUGUUAUUUUAUUGGUGGGGAUUCUUAGUUCUACUGACCCUGUUUACAUUUGAGAGUAUAUGCAAGACUAUCAUUGUAAUUGCUAUGACCUGCACCUACAUCAAUUUCAAGCUGAGCCCUGAGAAGAGAUGAAGCAAAAUGGGAAAAAUAAUCCUCUCUUUCCCACAGUGAUGCAUGGUUCAGUUUCCCUGUUGCUAGGCCGCUAUGUGUGUUUACAAUGAACAGUGACUAAAUAUAUGAGUUAACAGAAUACUUUUCGCUCCUACAACUUCUAAUGUAAGUGAGGGACUCCUCAAGUAAGCAGGCCUGCCGUUUAAUAAUAAGUAUCCAAUCAUGUCAUUGGACUUGAAAGUAUUAUAAAUUAUUUUUCACCAAAAUAGUAAAUCAUUUAAAGGUUACUCCAAGCACCAUGAUCACUUUAACUUUAGUUCUUUCAAAUUUUUUGUUGUAUUUGAGGGCAGGAUAAGGAAAAGUUAUUCCAACAAAAACAAGUGUUUUAUUACUGCAAUAACAGUUUGGCUUUUGUUGUCUUUACUAACUGCACGAAAUGCAUGCAUUUUGUUCUACUGUAUUGUAACCCUCUUAUUUGGGGUUAGGGCAAGGAGUGAUCUGGCUCUCUCAUGGACGGCCACACUCAUUGGCUGAGAGCACUAAGCUGAUGCACAGUAGGGGUUAGCUCAGUGAAGCUAAUGGAAGCCGUUGCAGGAGCUUCUGGUAACUGAGAAGGCUACUUACUCUGGGAUUGUGCCUGGAGUGCCUUGACACCCUCCUAGAGUAAAUAUGUAGGCUAUAGUGGUUAUGGUGUGUAAGUAAGUGGGCUAUAGUGGUUAAGGUAAGUGUUUUAUGGUGAGUACGUAAGUGGGCUAUAGUGGUUAUGGUGAGUAAGUCAAUGUGCUAUGGUGGUUAUGGUGAGUAAGUAAGUGGGCUAUAGUGGUCAUGGUGAGUAAGUAAGUGGGUUAUAGUGGUUAUGGUAAGUCAGUGUGCUAUAGUGGUUAUGGUGAGUAAGUGGGCUAUAGUGGUUAUGGUGAGUAAGUGUGCUAUAGUGGUUAAGGUAAGUGUGUUAUGGUGAGUACGUAAGUGGGCUAUAGUGGUUAUGGUGAGUAAGUAAGUGGGCUAUAGUGGUUAAGGUAAGUGUGUUAUGGUGAGUACGUAAGUGGGCUAUAGUGGUUAUGGUGAGUAAGUCAAUGUGCUAUAGUGGUUAUGGUGAGUAAGUGGGCUAUAGUGGUCAUGGUGAGUAAGUAAGUGGGUUAUAGUGGUUAUGGUAAGUCAGUGUGCUAUAGUGGUUAUGGUGAGUAAGUGGGCUAUAAUGGUUAAGGUAAGUGUGUUAUGGUGAGUAUGUAAGUGGGCUAUAGUGGUUAUGGUGAGUAAGUCAAUGUGCUAUAGUGGUUAUGGUGAGUAAGUAAGUGGGUUAUAGUGGUUAAGGUAAGUGUGUUAUGGUGAGUACGUAAGUGGGCUAUAGUGGUUAUGGUGAGUUAGUCAAUGUGCUAUAGUGGUUAUGGUGAGUAAGUAAGUGGGUUAUAGUGGUUAUGGUGAGUAAGUGGGCUAUAGUGGUUAUGGUAAGUAAGUGGGCUAUAGUGGUUAAGGUAAGUGUGUUAUGGUGAGUACGUAAGUGGGCUAUAGUGGUUAUGGUGAGUAAGUCAAUGUGCUAUAGUGGUUAUGGUGAGUAACUAAGUGGGCUAUAGUGGUCAUGGUGAGUAAGUAAGUGGGUUAUAGUGGUUAUGGUAAGUCAGUGUGCUAUAGUGGUGAUGGUGAGUAAGUGGGCUAUAGUGGUUAUGGUGAGUAAGUAAGUGGGUUAUAGUGGUUAUGGUAAGUCAGUGUGCUAUAGUGGUUAUGGUGAGUAAGUGGGCUAUAGUGGUUAUGGUGAGUAAGUGUGCUAUAGUGGUUAAGGUAAGUGUGUUAUGGUGAGUACGUAAGUGGACUAUAGUGGUUAUGGUGAGUAAGUCAAUGUGCUAUAGUGGUUAUGGUGAGUAACUAAGUGGGCUAUAGUGGUCAUGGUGAGUAAGUAAGUGGGUUGUAGUGGUUAUGGUAAGUCAGUGUGCUAUAGUGGUUAUGGUGAGUAAGUCAGUGGGCUAUAGUGAUUAUGGUGAGUAAGUCAGUGGGCUAUAGUGGUUAGUAAGUAAGUGGGUUAUAGUGGUUAUGGUGAGUAAGUGGGCUAUAGUGGUUAUGGUGAGUAAGUAAGUGGGCUAUAGUGGUUAAGGUAAGUGUGUUAUGGUGAGUACGUAAGUGGGCUAUAGUGGUUAUGGUGAGUAAGUCAAUGUGCUAUAGUGGUUAUGGUGAGUAACUAAGUGGGCUAUAGUGGUCAUGGUGAGUAAGUAAGUGGGUUAUAGUGGUUAUGGUGAGUCAGUGUGCUAUAGUGGUUAUGGUGAGUAAGUGGGCUAUAGUGGUUAUGGUGAGUAAGUAAGUGGGCUAUAGUGGUUAAGGUAAGUGUGUGUUAUGGUGAGUACGUAAGUGGGCUAUAGUGGUUAUGUGAGUGUGCUAUAGUGGUUAUGGUGAGUAACUAAGUGGGCUAUAGUGGUCAUGGUGAGUAAGUAAGUGGGUUAUAGUGGUUAUGGUGAGUCAGUGUGCUAUAGUGGUUAUGGUGAGUAAGUGGGCUAUAGUGGUUAUGGUGAGUAAGUAAGUGGGUUAUAGUGGUUAUGGUAAGUCAGUGUGCUAUAGUGGUUAUGGUGAGUAAGUGGGCUAUAGUGGUUAUGGUGAGUAAGUGUGCUAUAGUGGUUAAGGUAAGUGUGUUAUGGUGAGUACGUAAGUGGACUAUAGUGGUUAUGGUGAGUAAGUCAAUGUGCUAUAGUGGUUAUGGUGAGUAACUAAGUGGGCUAUAGUGGUCAUGGUGAGUAAGUAAGUGGGUUGUAGUGGUUAUGGUAAGUCAGUGUGCUAUAGUGGUUAUGGUGAGUAAGUCAGUGGGCUAUAGUGAUUAUGGUGAGUAAGUCAGUGGGCUAUAGUGGUUAUGGUGAGUAAGUAAGUGGGUUAUAGUGGUUAUGGUGAGUAAGUGGGCUAUAGUGGUUAUGGUGAGUAAGUAAGUGGGCUAUAGUGGUUAAGGUAAGUGUGUUAUGGUGAGUACGUAAGUGGGCUAUAGUGGUUAUGGUGAGUAAGUCAAUGUGCUAUAGUGGUUAUGGUGAGUAACUAAGUGGGCUAUAGUGGUCAUGGUGAGUAAGUAAGUGGGUUAUAGUGGUUAUGGUAAGUCAGUGUGCUAUAGUGGUUAUGGUGAGUAAGUGUGCUAUAGUGGUUAUGGUGAGUAAGUCAGUGGGCUAUAGUGAUUAUGGUGAGUAAGUCAGUGGGCUAUAGUGGUUAUGGUGAGUAAGUAAGUGGGUUAUAGUGGUUAUGGUGAGUAAGUGGGCUAUAGUGGUUAUGGUGAGUAAGUAAGUGGGCUAUAGUGGUUAAGGUAAGUGUGUUAUGGUGAGUACGUAAGUGGGCUAUAGUGGUUAUGGUGAGUAAGUCAAUGUGCUAUAGUGGUUAUGGUGAGUAAGUAAGUGGGCUAUAGUGGUCAUGGUGAGUAAGUAAGUGGGUUAUAGUGGUUAUGGUGAGUCAGUGUGCUAUAGUGGUUAUGGUGAGUAAGUGGGCUAUAGUGGUUAUGGUGAGUAAGUAAGUGGGCUAUAGUGGUUAUGGUGAGUAAGUGGGCUAUAGUGGUUAUGGUGAGUAAGUGGGCUAUAGUGGUUAUGGUAAGUAAGUGGGCUAUAGUGGUUAAGGUAAGUGUGUUAUGGUGAGUACGUAAGUGGGCUAUAGUGGUUAUGGUGAGUAAGUCAAUGUGCUAUAGUGGUUAUGGUGAGUAAGUGGGUUAUAGUGGUUAUGGUAAGUCAGUGUGCUAUAGUGGUUAUGGUGAGUAAGUGGGCUAUAGUGGUCAUGGUGAGUAAGUAAGUGGGUUAUAGUGGUUAUGGUAAGUCAGUGUGCUAUAGUGGUUAUGGUGAGUAAGUGGGCUGUAGUGGUUAUGGUGAGUAAAUAAGUGUGCUAUAGUGAUUAUGGUGAGUAAAUAAGUGUGCUAUAGUGAUUAUGGUGAGUUAGUCAGUGGGCUAUAGUGAUUAUGGUGAGUAAGUCAGUGGGCUAUAGUGGUUAUGGUGAGUAAGUGUGCUAUAGUGGUUAUGGUGAGUAAGUCAGUGUGCUAUAUUGGUAUGGUGAGUAAGUCAGUGGGCUAUAGUGGUUAUGGUGAGUAAGUAAGUGUGCUAUAGUGGUUAUGGUAAGUCAGUGUGCCAUAGUUGUUAUGGUGAGUAAGUAAGUGGGCUAUAGUGGUUAUGGUGAGUAAGUCAGUGUGCUAUGGCUGGUUUCUAUUUGUGGGAUAAUCAAGUUAUCUUUAUUGAGCUAAACAUCACUGAUCACAUCGGCUGAGAUAAGCUACGUGUGAUCCUGUAUCGCUCUCUAACUUUUUUAAAGUGAGGAUUUCUAGUACGGAUGGCUAUUGAUGACAAGAGGACAUAAAACAAGGAUGAGGGCUUUAUCAUUAACAUGGUGGAUCAGUAGAAGAAUAGAAUUACUAAACAUUCUGGAAUUAUAAUCUCUGUGCCUGGGUCACACAGUUUUCUAAACACCCAAACGCAGAAUUUGUUGCAGGAUGAGGGGCAGCUAAAAAUACAGUGCCAUGUUCAGGCCCCUCUUUGGGUGCCCUGAUAUACCAUAUGUUUCUAGAUACAUAAUUUUCUUCAUAUUUUAUUAAUCAACUCCCUGUCUGCAACAUAUAAAUUCUACAUAGAGCAGCAUUUUUCAUGAGUUGCUCAUGAGUAGAAAUGUAAUAGUUCAACUGAAAGCUCCUAGAGUUAAAAAUUUUGUAUAUUAUCUUAACGUUACAGAAUAUUUCUUGAUGUCAGGAUUUAAAAAAAGAAAAAGAAAAAAGUUUACUGCCAUUUGAGAACAGGUAAAGCUACUACGUGUAUGUUCAAUAAAUAGUUAACAUGCAAAACUUCAAGAUGGUUCUCACCCAACUGCAUUCAUUGGGCUCUAGAGCUAUACUGCUUACUUAAACAUCACACUCAUGUUCUAGGAAAUAGUAUUACAGCAAAAUAUAUUACAGAAUCUAAUGAAUGUUUAACAUUUGUAACUAACCAUUUCACCUCUGACAAUCAGCACACACUGACAGAGUUGCAUUACUAUCAAGACCUUCGGCCUGAGAAGCAAUGUAUGGUAUGGAAAACUGCUGAAGAAAACCACAAUUGCUUGAUUUAAUGUGUGCAAGUAUAAUUUCAAUCAGAAUGCAAUUCAUUAAACAUUUUUUUGUAAUAGAGGACGUACAUGUGAUGCUAACUCUGCGUCCUUGUAAUGAGCACAGUAUUGUGGACAUGUAACCAAAAUGAAUGAAUAUCACAACAGCAGAGAUUUUAGUGGAAAACAGUGACUCAGUAUAUCAGAGGCAGAGGCACUAUUUUAUAAUGUCACACACUGUAUUCUGCAGCUUCCUCAAGUCGUGUCCUUUAUAUAAAUCAAUAGUUACUUAACUCUUCUGGUGACCUUGUGAUUACAAAUUUCAGAAAUCUCUCAGCAGUCUUGUUUCAUUACAAAUAGAUUCCUAGAAGUGAAAUGGUUAUUACCAUGGCUUAUCACUAACCCCUUUGGUCAGGAGGGCUACCUUUAGGGCACUGUAAUGUAGGGUUAAUGGUGCAUUCAUUUUUAGUCUGGUAUAAAAGGCACAGGUUUUAAUAAAAUAAACUUUAUUCUUUAUUGCACAGGAUGCACUCACUUUGCAAGGAAAUAUACAAUUGGUUUGGGCUAUGCUAUUAGUGGUAUAGGUGCUUACAUUUGAUAUCACUUCUAUGGGGCAAUGACUCUAUGUAUCUGAUUUGUUAAUUUGAGCGGAUUUGUGUAACCAUUCUCUGGAUCAGUUAAGACUCCCCACAGCAAUUAGAAGUAUAAAUGAGAUUGUGUAGUGUAGGCUUAAAAAGUCAGGACUAUAUUGUCUUAUGUAUACAUCAUAUUUUGGCAAAAUGUACCUUCAGGCAUCUUGCCAUAUUCCAUCAGCUAUUGCAUAUGGCGGCUGAUGGGAACUGGCAUUGUCUUGCAGAUUGUACAACAGAUAUCUUGUAGUCUCUAGUUUCCCCCUCUCCCAGUGGGUGAACAUACCACACAAGUGACACACUUUAGACUUUGAUUCUAGUAAAAAAAAAAGUGCUUAUGUAUAUCUGAAAGAGAUUGAAAACUUUUAAUGAUACUCCCUAUAAGUACACCAGAUGUAAUAAUUCUGAUCAUCAUUGGUUAUUCCCAGAAAAGUUAGAACAUCAUAUUACAC
rnacentral:lncRNA from 1 species